GUUGGAUAUAUGUAUUUUGUGUUUUAAAGUUAUUGUUGCUAGAUUUUCUUUGCAUUCAGGUCCGUGAACCAUGAGUUGAGGCAUGAAGGUUAAUCAGUCAUUUCAAACUUUUGAGUCUCUUGGGAUUAAUGGAUCUCUUUUUAGGGGCAGUGUACCUCCUGGGGACACUACCGGUGCUAUACGACAUCUAGUCCUUCCACGAUAUGGAAGAAGCUCUACUAGCAGCCCUUUUGGUCCCCCUGGGUUCUAUUUUGGUUCACUAACUCAGCUUGGAGAUCAUUCUUUUGCUGCUACUAUGCCCUUUUGCGUCGCUCAAUAACACGGAGAGUUUUUUCCGAUGAAGGAUCUUAUAUCAAUAGGUGUUGGCCUUUUGCAUCUCUCUGAAGCUGCAUCAUUUUUCUUGAUUCUCUCUGGUUAAGGCUGCAGGGGUAUUGAGUGGUGGACGGCGGCACUCUUCUCUGCAACAACUUCCCCACCCCUUUUUUUCACGGCGAGUCAGAGCAGCCCAUAAUGUAGGGCUCUUGGAUUUGGACUUCUGACCUUGUUUCUUGUGAUGGUUUGAGCCAGUCAAUAGGGCAUUUUUUGUCAAG
rnacentral:misc_RNA from 1 species